AUUAAUAUAAAUGUGUAAAGUCUUCUAAUAAAGAAAUAAAAUGUUACUGUCAAAAAUAUAAAUAAUAGCAAGCAAUACCAAUACUAAAACAACAGCAACAAAUUAAUUAAAUAAUAAUAAGUAUUAUUCCUUUUGUUGUUGUAGUAGUUAUACAAACAGGGCAUAUUAACAGGUUCAUAAAUAAAAGGCAUAUUAUACAUUACAAAUUAAUCAAAGGAUAGAUUUUAUGCUAUUUACACAUAUUUUUAAAUCAAUGUCUUGAUACAAGUACAUUUAAUUUUAAUAUUAUAUUUUAAAUAUUAAUAAUAUAUUUGUAAUUUGAUAUGUGACAUUUUUCUAAUUUAAAAAAAAACUUUUUUAAAGCUUUCUUUUUUCACUUCAGUAACUAUAUUCUUUAAAACAAUGACAACAACAACAACAAAAGAUUACACCAUGAACAUUUUUGUAAAAAUACAUUAAUUUCUCUACUUUCUGCCCCCAUAGAGCCAUGCUGUCUCCCAUGUAUACAGACAGCUCAGUCAUCAUGGAGAGAGCGCCGCCCUUGCAGAAGGGAGGGAGAGUGCAACCUCAGGGCCACAAACUGCGCUCUCAUCCUCCCACCAGUGGGAGCAGUGUUUGUGCCAACCCGACCUACUAUCAUACUGUGUAUGACAUGAGUGAUGCAGCAUGCCAUGACUACAGCAAAGCCAAUGGAGGGGAAACCGUAGUGAUAGAUGGGACACUUUACUCUUUGAUGCCCAGUGACUCUCUGGUUCCUCCUGUCAGAAGGAGAGGAGGCCUAGUUGACCACCGUGAUGUCAUCAAAGCACACCAAUCCCAUAAAUUGCAGAGCACUCCACAGGCCCGACGAAAACAAUGGGAGAACAGGAAAAACGAACGCUCAGCACACUCGCUAGAUGCAUGGAUGGAUGAAAAGAAGAAAGGAUGGAGGGAGGGAUCGAUGGGCUGACGUGGUCUCAUUGCUCUCGACCAGACUCAUUCACCAUCUCUCCUGCUUACUCAUAACUUACCAUCCACCUCUGAUAACACCUCAUGCUUUUAAAUAAUUUCCUGCCCGUAAUAUGCUCUUUUCAUUUUUCUUUCUCUCUUUUAGUCUGCAGUGCUGUCUGUUCUUUUGAACCAUAAGAAUUGUCAGCAUUUAUGUAAUAUAUCUUGAGUAUGAUCCAUUUAUUUUGUUUACAAAUCUACUAGAUCGUAUUGAAAGAAUAGUUGUAUUUUCCUUGCAACAAAAUACAUUUUGAAAAAAUGCUGCUAAUUUUAAAUGCUUAAAUAUCUAAAGAAAUAUGCAAUUUUGGCUCCAAAUGGUGUAGUUAUGACAUCUGCUAGCAGUGCCCGGUUAAUUAGCCAUAUCUUGACCUCCUAGUUUUUGCUUAAAUAUUCACCCCCUUCUGUCAAAUGUUUUUCACUCUCAGAUUAAGAAUAUACGGAGCCCCGCACAUGACAUGCAAGAAAAAUAAAUAAAUUGUGUGCACGAUUUACUGAUUAUUUCCCUCGAUUAAUAAAUCAUGUGCACAAUUUAGCAAAUCGAGGAAACAAAAAAGUAAAUUUUGUGCACAAUUUAUAAAUAGAGGGAACGAAAUAGUAUAUUGUGCACACGAUUUAGCCUACAAUUUUUUUUCCUUCAUGCCAUGUGCAGGACUCCAUACUAAUAAAAGUGGGUAACAGAUGGAACGACUCGUUCUUGUUCACACCUCUGUAAUUCUUCUCUUAUCCACUGUCAUGGAUUGCAACAGCCAAUUUUGGCAGCAUAUCAAUGUAAAUCUCAGUGCAAAUGCCACACAAACAUAAUCUAUUGUUAAUCGGGUAGUUCACCAAAAAUAAAAACUCUUUACUUAUCCUCAAGUUUUUCCAAAACUUUAUGCAUUGCUUCUACAGAAGGAUUUUUAUUUUGAAUAAUAUUUGUAACCAAACAGCUUAGGGUUUUAUUGACUUCCAUAGUAUUUUUUUUAUUUAAUACUAUGGAAGGCAGUGGGAACAUUCUUACCAACAUUCUUCAAAUUAUCUUUUUUGUGUGUGUUAAACCAAAUAAAGUUAUUUUUGGGUAGACUAUCCCUUUAAAGACUGAUUAAGGAUACAGUUUAUGUUAUGUAACUUUACUUUGUGAGUGUGUGUGGUUAUCUCAGCAGGGAGUUGAGACAUGGGGAUAAAGUGGCCACACCAGCUACUGUACCUCGGGUUCUUGACUAUGCAAAUUAAGUUUAAAUGCAUGUGUAUUUAUAUUGUAGACACAUACAGUGUGUGCAAACACUCAGCAUGUGUGUGUACGUGUGCACAUGUUUGUAAGUGCUGAUCCUUCUCACUCCAUCUUACUCCACAACAGUCUUAGGCCAUUAGCUGAGGGCAGCAGUGAAGUCUGACCCCACCAUUCACUUUCUCCACCUCUUGGUGCCUCCCUACACCCAUCCCUACUCAUCAAUCAGUUCAUCAAUUAAUACACACUCAGUCCUUCAGCAAACACACAGAACAGCCAAAAAAAAAAAAAAAAAAGACCAAUCUCCUAAUUGUUGUGGCUCUUCUUCCAUCCUCUCCCAUUCCUCUCUGUCAUUUUAUCUCUCAUGCUUUCCCCCACUCAUUAACUCUCUGUCUGAAGACUCUAUCCAUUGAACACGAUCUCAUUGGUCUCAGAACUGAAACAGAUACAGAUAAAGACAAUAUAUUUAAUGUAACUUAAUAUAAAGGCAGUAAUAAUAGAGUUGUGUUUUUACAUAAGCUGAAGUGAUAUUUUUUGCUCCACCUAAAUGUAUAGCUUUAAAUACAUUUUGUUCUGCCUAAAGUAAAAGUAGA
rnacentral:lncRNA from 1 species